GAUGAACCAGAACGCUGGUGUGAAGGGCAAGGGAGGGUGAUGGGAGUCUGUGGCCACCAGGCAUCGUCUCUCUCUGGUUUAUUCAACAAGUAGCUUGUUUAGUGUGCUUCCUUCCCUGCUGGCUGCUCUGCCUCACUGUCCAUCAGUCCAGGCUGCUGGAACAACCCCCAGUGCAAGCAGGGUCCAGACUGGAUGGAGCCAGAAUGACAACAACGAUGUUCCCAUUGUGGCUGGGUCUCCCAUUGGGGCCCAUGGGCUGCCGUGGGGUCAGGCUGGGAGAAGUGCAAGCUGGAGCAUCCCUCCUGCUCACCCACCAAUGCACCCUUCCCCGUGCGUUCCAGGUGAGCCGGUUCCCAUCAGCACCUUCAGUCUGUCGCUUGCCAAACCCACCUCAGCCACUGCGAAGGUUUUGUGUUCAAAAGGAGCCAUUGAGGAUGCAGCUGCUUUAAAUCUGAAGAAGAGGAGAUGAUGUGUGCCCCUUUCUGAGCAUCUUGCUUGCUGCAGAGAGGAGAAACCUGCCCCCGCUGGGACCCUUCCCAAAGGCUCCCACAUGGAUAACGCGUUUGAUUCAUCCACGACCACAUCUUGGCUCGUGCUGGUUUGUUAGGGAGAAGGUGCCAAAUUGGCCUUCUACUGCACGGUGCCUGACACAAGGGCAGCUGGAGGCAAUCACCAGCCGGGGGGGGGAGCUUCCUCCUGUCCAAAACAAGCAGAUAAGGGCAGCAAUGAGGAAAAAUAGGGCCGAGAGCCGGGAGGCAGCUGGGAACCAGGCAGCAGGGGCUGCACCCCGGCCCUCCCCGUGUGCACAAUUCCCCUCUCCCUCUUUGUUUUCUCUAAUUGCACAGUGGGGCCUGCCGGGCACAGCCUGUUUCUUUACUCCACAUUGGUACAAAGCUCUGUGGAGUGGGGCUGGAACGUGCUGACCUGGGAAUAAAGGCCGUAGAAGAGGGAUAGAACCGGUUUCGGCUUCCCUGGGGAACAAUGCUCGGCCUCUCAGCAGGACAUGGCCAUGAUGUGUUUGGAUUUGGGCACCGCAGCAGCAGCUCCGCAACCAAGGCUCGCUGAUGAGAUCUGGGAAGUGGAACCAGCAGAGACAUGAAAUGAAUGGAUCUGUUCUCUUCGGCCAAGGAAAACGUGGUGCAGGGAGGGGAGUGUCACAGAUGUGUUGGCAGAAGGACCUGGCAGACCCUGCAGGGCCAGAUCAGCUGCGGCUUCUUCUGCCCCUCCGAGGAUGGAGAAUUCCCCAUUUUCCACCCCGAACCCCUCAAAGUGUCAUUGGGAAGCCCAGCACGAAGUCUGGCUUUUUGCAGCUGCCCUUUGGGUAUCUUAAACGUGCUGGAGAGGGACUCCUCACCAGGGGCUGUAGUGGUAGGACAAGGGGUGAUGGGUUCAAACUGAAACAGGGGAAGUUCAGGUUGAAUGUAAGGGAGCUCUUCCCUGUGAGGAUGCUGAGGUGCUGGCAUAGGGUGCCCAGAGAAGCUGUGGCUGCCCUAUCCCUGGCAGUGCUCAAGGCCAGGUUGGACACUGGGGCUUGGAGCAACCUCCUCCAAUGGAAGGGAUCCCUGCCCAUGGCAGGGGUUGGAACUGGAUGAUCUUAAGGUCCUUUCCAACCCAAACCAUUCUGUGAUUCUAUCUCCCCCCUGAGCCAGGUGAGCAUCCCUCAGUGCACCAGCACCGACCCCAAACCCUCUGGUAUCCCAGGCUGGACCCUCCACAGCAUCAAACUGACCCCAGACCGAUGCCUGCUCUCC